GUUCCGACUGUAAAUGGCCAGUGAUAAAGGUAUGUGGCUCUGGGAAUAGGGAAUAGGGUGUCAUCUGGGACAUGUUGGUAGGUGUUAAUAUCCUCACCAACACGUCUGCUAGUGUAUGCCCAGUUAGGCUCCCUGUCUGUGGGUGAAUAUGAGAAAUAGGCUAGUGUAUAGCCAGUUAGGCUCCCUGUCUGUGGGUGAAUAUGAGAAAUAGGCUAGUGUAUAGCCAGUUAGGCUCCCUGUCUGUGGGUGAAUAUGAGAAAUAGGCUAGUGUAUAGCCAGUUAGGCUCCCUGUCUGUGGGUGAAUAUGAGAAAUAGGCUAGUGUAUAGCCAGUUAGGCUCCCUGUCUGUGGGUGAAUAUGAGAAAUAGGCUAGUGUAUAGCCAGUUAGGCUCCCUGUCUGUGGGUGAAUAUGAGAAAUAGGCUAGUGUAUGCCCAGUUAGGCUCCCUGUCUGUGGGUGAAUAUGAGAAAUAGGCUAGUGUAUAGCCAGUUGGGCUCCCUGUCUGUGGGUGAAUAUGAGAAAUAGGCUACUGUAUAGCCAGUUAGGCUCCCUGUCUGGUUGGGUGAAUAUGAGAAAUAUGCUAGUGUGUGGGAGUCUAGAGUUAGGUUUCCUGUCUGAUCCAGUUAACCAUGCACUUCAAUACCUCAACACAUCAGCCCAGUGUGUUUUCAUUAAAGAUUAGCCCAUAUAAAAUCAAUAAAUAUAUGAAUUGUACAGGUUUUGUUAUUGGGAUGAAGUAGAUAAAAACCGUAUCAUGGUAGACUAUUCUUCUGUGACUCGUAUUAACGUUCUUUCUGGUUCUGCUAGCUCUGUGUGGGAGAAUGAAUAAGCCUGACUGGAGUAAACAACACUAUUAAACCUGCUAUAUCUUGUCUGAAGGCUCAGGGGAAUAUGUAGGUUUGUCAUGUCAUUGUGUGUGUGCGUGUGUGUGUGUGUGUGUUUGUGCAUUUAUCCAUAUAGACAUACAGGUAGCUGCCAAAUAAUGGAAACACAAACAUAUUGUUUUAAUAGGGCCACCACAAGCUGCCAGACGACCUUCAACGCACCUUGGCAUAGAUUCUACAAGUGUCUGGAACUCUAUCGGAGGGAU